AGGACGAACGCUGGCGGCGUGCUUAACACAUGCAAGUCGAACGGGGUAGCAAUACCUAGUGGCAGACGGGUGAGUAACGCGUAGAUAACCUGCCUUUAAGUUGGGGACAACACCUCGAAAGGGGUGCUAAUACCGAAUGUUAUAGAGUAAUCGCAUGAAUAUUCUAUUAAAGAUUUAUCGCUUAAAGAGGGGUCUGCGUCCGAUUAGGUAGUUGGUGUAGUAAAGGUACACCAAGCCUGCGAUCGGUAACCGGUCUGAGAGGAUGAACGGUCACAUUGGAACUGAGACACGGUCCAGACUCCUACGGGAGGCAGCAGUGGGGAAUAUUCCACAAUGGGGGGAACCCUGAUGGAGCGACGCCGCGUGAAUGAAGAAGGGCUUCGGCUCGUAAAGUUCUUUUGCAGUUGACGAAUGUACUAUAAGGUAGUAAGAGACGGUAGAUUGCGAAUAAGCCACGGCUAACUACGUGCCAGCCGCAGC
rnacentral:rRNA from 1 species